GAUGAACGCUGGCGGCGUGCCUAAUACAUGCAAGUCGAGCGAACAGACGAGUAGCUUGCUCCUUCGACUUUAGCGGCGGACGGGUGAGUAACACUUAGCUAACCUACCUAUAAGACUGGGAUAACUUCGGGAAACCGGAGCUAAAACCGGACAAUAUUUCGAACCGCAUGGUUCGAUAGUGAAAGACUGCGUUUCUAUCACUUAUAUAUGGACCUGCGCCGUAUUGGCUAGUUGGUAAGGUAACGGCUUACCAAGGCAACGAUACGAAGCCGACCUGAGAGAGGGACAGGCAACACGGGAACUGGGCAACGGUCCAGAUUCUACCGGAAGGCAGCAGUAGGAAAAUUUCGGAAAUGGGCGAAGGCCUGCCGGAGAACGGCCGGGUGAGUGAUGAGGGUCUUGGGACCGUAAACCCCGGUUAUUAGGGAAGAAGAACCGUGUAAGUAACUGUGCACGUCUUGACGGUACCUAAUAAGAAAGCAACGGCUAACUCCGUG
rnacentral:rRNA from 1 species